GGCAGUAUGGUGUAUCGAUGCACGCGGGGCUUCAAUAGAUAGUGAUCGCAUCGUGUUGACCCCGAAGACCUUGUUCGAUCCAAGGUACUGCUC